GCGGUGAAGACCCCGUGUCCAGGGGCAGAGUGUCCGCUGAGGCUGAGGGUGUGCUCCUCUGAAGUCAAAGGCAGUCGUGGCUACAGCCAGGCUUUACACGGCAUGUGGUUCCUUACCUGCAAAACAGGGAUAACCAUAAUACCCAAUCCAUGGUGAUGCUGUAAAGCACUUGCCACGUGAGGAUACAGGAGAAGUUAACUUAUCUACAAGCCAGAAGACAGGCCCUCAACAGACACCGGAUCUGUCAGCAACUUGAUCUUGGACUUCCCAGUUUCCAGAAAUGUGAGAAAUAAAUGUCUGUUGUUUCACCCACCAAGCUAUUGUAUUUUUGUUACAGCAGUCUGAACUAAUUAAGACAAACUCUUUAGCAUAACACUUUAAGUCAGUGUAUCACAUAUCAUCAAGAUAAAGAAGUCUGGCUCAAAGCAGAGAGCCUUUCAAACAGAUGGGACCCCUCUGUGAUUUAACACAGGUCUAGCUCUUGGUUAUGAAGCCCAGGGUGUCUGGCUCUUCGUGACGCUCCCAUCCUGUCAUAUUCCCAUGCAGAACUCCACAGGGAGGCCAUAAGCACCCAGCUUUCUUCCUGGAAAACAGAUGCACUUGGCUUGCAGGAAGGAAACCAGUUUAGAUAAAACAUGGUGCCCAUUACUUUCCUUGUGAAAAUUGUUCUUAGGUGAGGUAUUACAAGUCCAGGGUAGUGAUAUCUCUCCUUGUUUUUGCUCAUUAAUUUGUAUGAGCUUGAAACAAAGGGACCUGGUACUGCAGGGUUUGAUCUUGCUGCAGUAGUUUUCUGAAGCAGCCAGUGCUUUAGACUAGGAGCCAGGAGGCUGCAGUCCCAGCCCUGGCUCUGCCAUACACAGCGGUGUGCGCCUGGUUAGCCCCUUAGCUCCAUAGUCUCAGGCUCCUUAUUCCUCAUAUCAUCUUGCUGGUGAUAAACACAUUUUAUGCGAAAACGUUUCAGGAAGUUUGGGGCCCUAAAAUUUGUAGGGCAUCUGAGACACCUACUGUGACCCUUUAAAAGGUCCCCUGGGCUAUUUAUAUCCAGGAGCCAUAAUCCUGAGGUGACCUCACCAUCAGGGUGAGCACCUGCUCACUUUCUCCUGCGACGGAAUUAGCAUUAAGAAGACCUAUUGUAUUAACAUAGUGUUUCCAAGUUUUGAAAACACUUUCACACUCAUCAUCUCAUUUAAUCCUCACAA